rnacentral:rRNA from 1 species
UACGUAGGGAGCAAGCGUUGUCCGGAAUCAUUGGGCGUAAAGCGCGCGUAGGCGGUUCGUCACGUCGGGAGUGAAAACUCGGAGCUUAACUCCGAGCCUGCUUCCGAUACGGGCAGACUAGAGGUAGGCAGGGGAGAGCGGAACUCCUGGUGUAGGCGGUGGAAUGCGCAGAUAUCAGGAAGAACACCGGUGGCGAAGGCGGCUCUCUGGGCCUUACCUGACGCUGAGGAGCGAAAGCGUGGGUAGCGAACAGG